UUAGAAUCCCCAGUCCGUGCGAUUGUGAGGUCCUCAGUAGCUAGCGGACCAGAUGACGUAAGGCUAGAAGCUGAGGAUGACAAUCAAAACGAACACCCACAACGGACCCCGAGUGGACAAAAGUCUCGCUUAUCAAGACAUUGUACCACUGGUUCAGCAAGCCCUGAGUGCGGAGAAGUCAACCCGUUAUGAUGGUGUUCACCAGAUUUUUUGUUGGGGUGUUUAUACAUAAUGUACUCGAGAAUCACUUAACUUGUAUGUUUAAGGUUUUGUUAAUGUAUAUGUAUAUAGUUAUAAUUUAUUUGUGGACAAUGACGUAAUAUACAACAAUGUUAUUGUAUAUAUAUAUCAAUUUUUGUGGACAUGAAAUGGAUAUAUGUUGUGGGGAAUGUUGGGAUAGGACUUGAGAAAUGGAUGU